rnacentral:rRNA from 2 species
GACGAGCCACACGAACGUUAUUCGGAAUUACUGGGCUUAAAGGGUGCGUAGGCUGCGCGGAAAGUUGGGUGUGAAAUCCCUCGGCUCAACCGAGGAACUGCGCCCAAAACUACCGUGCUCGAGGAAGAUAGAGGUAAGCGGAACUUACGGUGGAGCGGUGAAAUGCGUUGAUAUCGUAAGGAACACCUGUGGCGAAAGCGGCUUACUGGGUCUUUUCUGACGCUGAUGCACGAAAGCUAGGGGAGCAAACGGG